GGGUGUGACUCAGUGGUAAAGUGCCUGCCUAGCAUGCAUGAGGCCCAGGUUCCAUCCCUAGCACCAAACA
rnacentral:tRNA from 1 species